rnacentral:rRNA from 1 species
UACGUAGGCAGCGAGCGUUGUUCGGAGUUACUGGGCGUAAAGGGUGUGUAGGCGGUUCUCUAAGUUUGGUGUGAAAUCUCCCGGCUCAACCGGGAGGGUGCGCCGAAAACUGGAGGGCUAGAGUGCGGGAAGGGAGAGUGGAAUUCCUGGUGUAGCGGUGAAAUGCGUAGAUAUCAGGAGGAACACCGGUGGUGCAGACGGCUCUCUGGACCGCGACUGACGCUGAGACACGAAAGCGUGGGUAGCAAACAGG